rnacentral:misc_RNA from 1 species
GCGGAGUUCUUCCCGGAGUCCUGUUCCCAUGCAAGAGCAUUGACAAGUUUCCCAUUGAGAAAUAACCAUACACCAGUAGCUUCUCAUCCUUGGAGUAAUAAUAAGCACGCAAAGGAACCACAUUUGGAUGCUGUCCAACUCUACCAAUAAUUUCCAUCUGCUGUUCAAAGUCCUUCUUCCCCACAAUGACUUCUUUAAGUCUUUUAACCACCACUGUUGAUGACUCCUCCAAAAUAGCCUUAUAAGCAGUUCCAAAACUCCCCUUUCCUAGCACUUCAGCUGAGGCCCUCAAUAGGUCCUCGAGAUCGAAAUUGUAAGAGCUACCUUCAAAGAAAACAAGCUUAUUUUUGUCAGGUUCUUGCACCCCACUACCGAACUCUUCCCUCGGUUUUUCACUCCUUCCUCCGCCCGGAGAUUUCCCUUUCCGCACACCUCUGCCAUCACCCCUUUUUCUUCUCAGGCAGCACAAAACCAGGAUCACAACUAGCAGCAAGACUAGCACAACCCCUCCAGCAGCAAUAGCAAGAAUAACUCCUAGUUUAAGUUUCUUUUUUGAACUUUUU